rnacentral:tRNA from 1 species
GUGGGGAGAGCUCAGUGGUAGAGUGAGUGUUCAGCAUGCACAAGGUCCUGGGUUCAAUCCCCAGUGCCUCUA